rnacentral:lncRNA from 1 species
CUAUUAAGUGGAGUGUUCUCUGAACGUCAUUGAGGUCAACUGGGUUAAUAGAGUUUCUCUAUCUUAGAUCACACUUUUCUUCUUUAUUUCUUUGAAUCAUAAAUAUCUUUAUUUAUUUAUUUAUUUAUUUAUUUAUUUAUUUAUUUAUGUCCUUACUAAAGAGUGCUAUUAAACCUGGAUGGUGUGUCCAAGAAGCUUAGUGUCUGUUCUGUUUGGACUUCUGUGUGUUUCAUACCCACUGAGAAGAGACUCCUUCAUGCUUCAAUACCUUUACUGUUAAUGAUGGGUAGUUAGUUUGUUGUUAAAUCUUGGGAAUGGCCAAGUUAUGCUCCGGCUUUCAGCACAUCUUAUUCGUUCUAGCAGUGGGGUCUCUUUCUGGUGGGUCAGUAUCCUCUUCACACCCUAGAAAUGAGAGAAGCAUUAUAAAACAGAAUUGGCAGAAAAGUAAUUUUCUCCCUGGAAUCCAGUCUGAAAAACAAUUCUGAUUUUGCAAAACAUAUGACAGUCCCUGUGCAACAGUAUAAAACUUCACCAUAGAAGUAAAAGCCCACGGACAUUAUAUUCAAUCACUUCACGUUAAAUACCUUUAAAAUCAUCAUUGAUCAGAAUUGAAGAUCAGCUGUAAAAAAUAAUAUGAACAAAGAUUCAUAAGAAGAUUCAGAAGAAAGUUGACUACCACAAAAAUUAGAAAAACAGUAGAUCUAUUAAAAUUACAAAUUAAGCACCCUAAAAGUUAGACAUCUUGGUGGGAUGAUGAGCAAAUAAAUAGUGCACUGAGGAUGUGAGGAAAGACCCCAAGUCAGACAUGCAUCCCUGCAAAACGAUACAUUUAAAUUUUUUUCAAUCUUUGCUGAGACAGAGAAAAAUAGUUUUCUAUUCAAACUUCAUAUACUUAUUUCUUCACUUACAACAGAUUUGGCAUACACAUUAAAAAUUAUGUAAUAGUUGGAAUCAUUUGUUAUACUCAACCAGAUAUAAUUAUUCAUUAAGAAUAACAUUGGUAGUAAUUAAUAUAAUAUAUGAGGUACAGACUCCUUUGAAAUAUGCCUUAAAGUUAUGUUUUGGUUUUCAUAUCAGUAAAACAUUUUCUAUUUUCUAACAUGUCCACUUCUUGCUAAUAGUGUUUUUAGUUUAUUAUAAUCCCAAAUUACCUGUUCUUUUGACAUGGACAGUAACUAACAUAUUUUAAUGAACUUAAAUUUUCUAAAAAUAAAAGCAAAUAUAUUUUAAAGAGAUUCUCCAUAAGCAAUGUUUUCAUAGUAUAUUGAGUUAGAAAGAUGAAUACUAUUGCAUCUUGAAGAUAAAUAAUUAUUGAUUUUUUUCAUAUAUGUCUUAUGAUAAGUGAUUCCAAACUGCUAUAUUAAAUUCAGUAGACCAUAAAGCUGGAUUGUCAUAGUGAAAUUUAGCAACCUAAGUCAGAUGUUAUUUAGCUAAACAUACUGAUAUUUCAUUCCAAUAAAAAUCAGUUUUCAGUCCAAGAAUCAAGGAAGUUACCUGAUGCUACUACUAUAUAACUCAGAUACUACUCAAGAAAUGUCGGUAUCAACAGAAGGAACUAAUAGAUUAUCUUGCCAAUUAAUUUUUUUGGCCAAAGUAGAAGCAAAUCUUUGGGAAGAUUCUGCACAAUUUCCUGUUGUUCUUUAUUCACCAUUUUUUAAAUUGUCUGAACCAAUGAACUCUUAGGCUGUAUAUUAGAUAUUUAUUUUUUUUAAAUGGACCAGUAAAUCUCCAAUCAUGAUGAACAGUUCCACACUGCUUUAGAAUUUCAGGUGACUGAGACUGCCAACUGGAGGAGACUUCUGUUGGCUGGUCUCAGGGGUGGAAUGUGAUUUUCACAUCACCGUGCAAACUGCACACAGUCUUCACAUAAACACUGCACAGAGAUAGGUCAGUGAUAGCAAGGUAUGCAUCUUUCUUGUACGUGUGUUUUCAAUUCUAUGCAGCAUUUUAUUUCUAUAUGAUUAAGUCAAUUUAUAUUUCAUCAUUUAUAUAAGGAAUGGAAAACCUGAGUUAACUGGAAUCAAA